rnacentral:rRNA from 1 species
UACAGAGGUCUCAAGCGUUGUUCGGAUUCAUUGGGCGUAAAGGGUGCGUAGGUGGCGCGGUAAGUCAGGUGUGAAAUCUCGGGGCUCAACCCCGAAACUGCACUUGAUACUGCCUCGCUUGAGUACUGGAGAGGAGACUGGAAUUUACGGUGUAGCAGUGAAAUGCGUAGAUAUCGUAAGGAAGACCAGUGGCGAAGGCGAGUCUCUGGACAGUUACUGACGCUGAGGCACGAAGGCCAGGGGAGCAAACGGG